UUCGGUGUGAUUCUGGAUUGAAUAAAUGCGAAAUUGUGUCGAACGAUAUUCACGAUUCGUGCAGAAUUGGUAAUCAUUUGCAAUCUGAUCCGGUUUACGGAAUUAACGACUUGGUAAAUGAAUCAUAAAUUUAGGCUAAGAUUCGGUGUGAUUCUGGAUUGAAUAAAUGCGAAAUUGUGUCGAACGAUAUUCACGAUUCGUGCAGAAUUGGUAAUCAUUUGCAAUCUGAUCCUGUUUACGGAAUUAACGACUUGAAAUUUCAUGUUCGAUGGUAUGAUCCUUUCGGCGUAUUUUUGACCUCCCUUCAAAGUUGAUAAUUUAGAAUUACCAGCCAAAGUGACUGAACAUUCUCGAGACAUAGAGUAAUCGAACCUCACCAUUGGAAAUCUCACUCGGGCACAGUAAAUUUAGAAAAAUCGAAUUGAAAGAUCGAAAAUUAGACUCGACUGUAUCUUCUGUCCAUGCGACGAUAAUUUGGCAUUUUCAAGAUAGAAGUUCUAUUGAGGUUGACCAUCGAACGUCAGAAACGAAACAAGAAAUGACCGAAGCGAUUUCUAAUGCGUAUGAUAUUGCUCAUCCGACUCCAGUAUCACUGGAAAAACUUUCAGCGAUCGCUAUCGCCAUGAGCCUGGAAUUAUGGCGACGUGCAGUAUAUGAAGGCCGCAGUAGCCACACGUUGGAAAGUUUUGUUGAGUACGACUCACAUGCUGCAUUGAAAGCUGCUUUUCCAGAUUUACCCCCUGUGAUUGAUAACAUCAUUUAUAAAUAUGCCAAGAGAUUUUGGACCUCACUGGAUGACUGGGCGCAAGAUCAUUAUGAUAGGUAACCAUGAACGAUCAAAUAAGAAAACGAGCUUGCGAUUUUUAUAUAGAAGAUGCUGAAGAUGUUGAAGAAAAAAGAAAACAGAAAGUGCAAGACGUGCAAACCGGAUAACUCUUAUGCAUCUGUUACGAGGAUACAUCCGGAAAGUCUAACCAACGCGCGACGUUCCCACAUUAAAGAUUAUUGCUUCUGUUGCGAUCACAGCUUCUCUAUGGAAUCACGUCAAUACAACCGAGAGCUUUAUCUGACAUAAAGGACACAUUUGCUAGCAACACGAAGCAAUGGACGGAGUUGUGUGAAAAAGUGCGCGCCUGAAUCACCGUUUUAAAAGUUGCGAACCCGAUCGCUGAACAGAUCGCUAAAUUCGUCGGUAAAAUGACCCAAAAAAACGAAUGGGCAUCGUAUCACUACCGAACGGUGUUUUUGGAAAACGGGCUCGAUAAAUUUGUCUACUAUUUAGCGAAGUAUAUUGUUUGGUACCCAAACGGACGAAUACAUAGGAUACAAACUGCAAGAAAACUGAAAGAGGUAACGUCGCUCAGAUUCGGCAAUAUCGAAAAAUUUAGAUUUUUAUCCGUGUAUUGCAUACAAGACAAAAUGGAUCGGAUGGAACCGGUGAAGUUGUGCAGAGCCAUUAUUUACAAUUAUCCGAACGCCCAAGAAUAUCCUCUGGUUUGGUAUUGGCAUUGUUACUAUACAGAAAAAUGGCCCAAGAUAAGCCUGAAUGACAAUCGAAACGAACAUGAAGAUCUACGCAAAUAUAUUGAUUUGUCAUCCAAAAGUGGAUAAUUGGGCAGCCAAACGGUAUUUUUUCAAUCAGUUGAACUUUGUAGAACAAGAACUACAGGCUAUUUGGCUGAUUGACGAAUACGGCAUGCAUCGUUUACCAGAAAGCAGUCAUGUUGGAACUGAAUAAAGAGCAGCGUGACAGCGUUUACCAAGAACGAGCUACGCAGAUAAUACUGAAUUACGCGCGACCUCGUAUCAAUGCUACGUUCAUUCUGCGCAUGUGGCACGAAGCGCAGGAUUUAAUGACCGAGGAUCAGUUCUUGACUCUGAUUUGAGGCCUGUCGAGCUCGCUGAAAUCAAAAGAUUUCAUUCUGCUGGAGAUUUGGUCAAGUGCUGGUAGAAAUUUGAAACUACAUGUAGUCGAUGCCGGUAUCAACGACGAUGAAAUUGUUGAAAAAGUACGAGGGUCGCUUCAAAAGUCUCCGCCACCCAAUCAGAUCUCAGCUCGUGGUAGCACUGAUGAGAUGAACAAUACACCGUUAUGUUGGGGAAGGUUAGGAGGUGAUCAGGUUUAUGUUAAAAUUAUAACCAGUUUCAGCGAAUAGUUUGUCUUCAGUGUGUGAUAUAGACACUGUACCUGCGGGAAGACAACGAACUGGCAGCCAUCUUGGCUGAAUUACAUGUGUCAUGCCAAUUUAUCCCGCUGGGUGCUUUUGGCUGCGCUGGUGUCGAAUUCUUGAACGAAGUACCAUGCGAACUGCGAAGUACAGCGCGCGCAGCCAAGAGCAUCACUACCAUCCCUCUUCCCCGUUGCCUGCAAACUGACGUACAGCGCAGCCAAAAUCACCCAGUGGGAGAAAUUGGCAUGACACAAGAUUUUACUACCGUCCCUUUUCCCCGUUACCUGCAGUUCGAUGUCUUACCCGGAGGGCACAGGUACAGUGUCUAUAGUGUGUGAUUAACCAUGGAGCUACCCCUUGUGUGAACAACGUGCAGUGAUUCGGUACCUCAACACAAAAGAUUUUAAUGGUAAAAAAUUCACAACGAGUUACAGGUGACUUAUGGUGAUAGUGCUGUGUUGUAUAGAUCAGUUUGCGAAUGGAUUAAACAUUUUAAUGAUGGUAGAACGAACCUUCAUGAUGACGCGCGAAGUGGCCGGCCUAGUGAUGCUGUGAAUGAUGAAACAAGAGCUGGUGUGCUCGAGUUGUUCAAAGGAGAGCGGCGGUAUUUGAUAACAGAAGUAAAAGAUUUAUUAUCAGAGAGAUAUCAUAUUGAUGUUUCAUGUUCCUUGAUCUCCCGUGUGUUGGCGGAAGCUGGAUUUCACAAAAUUUGUGCCCGAUGGGUCCCCCGACUCCUCAAUGACCAGCAUCGCCUCAAUCGUAUGGGGGCAGCUCUCACAUUCCUGUCUCAGUACCACAAUGACCCCAAUAUUUUGACCAAAGUGAUAACAGGUGAUGAGACUUGGAUCCACUACACAACACCAGUCAAGUCACAAUUUCACAAAACGAGCUUCAAUGAUGUGGAAACAUCCAGGUUCUCCACAUGUCACAAAGUGCAAAACUGAAAAAUCUGCAAAAAAGGUCAUGGCUACAGUCUUUUGGGACUGUCAUGGCAUGGCCCAAUUUUGAUCGAGUACAUGCCCCGAGGUACCACCAUAAACUCAAGUAGUUACUGUGAGACCUUGGAUAAGUUGAAAAAAGCCAUAAAAAGCAAACAACCGGGGCUUUUGACCAGAAGACCACUCCUUUUCCACAAUAAUGCAAGGCCUCAUUGCUCUCAUCAGACCCUGGAACACAUGAGAAAGUGGAAUUGGGAGGUGUUCGACCAUCCUCCGUACACUCCAGACCUUGCUCCAUCCGAUUACCACCUCUUCCCCAUUUUGAAGGAGUACCUGGGCACACAGCGAUUCAAAAACAACGAUCAACUCAAGAACAAGGGGCUUCUCACCAGAGCAGUGGUGAAGACUUUUGAAACAACCCUUGUAUUACUGAAAUGUUGUAUGUUCAAUGAUGUGAUGAGGAUCCAAAAGUAUCACGGCGAUUUAAAAAGAAGUGCAUCAAAAAUGAUUUGUAUAAGAAAUUUUUAAAAAUCCACAUUCCACGGGCCGAAAUUAUUAUUGACCAACAAAUUUCAAGAUCUCGAACAGUUGCUGAAAUUUUUUCUUCCUGAUGCCGAGGAUUUGCGAAAGUUCAAAGUACACCUGGUGACUCAUUCGGAUCAAGUAAAGAAAACAUGCUUCGAAUUUUAUUCUUCCUGUCAAUUGGACGAUCUGAAUAAUUACCUAAAACAACUUUUAGACUCAAAUCCUGAUGAUAUUGCCCAGUACAAACAGUGAUAAAAUCGCCGGAUGGAUUCAGAUUAUGUGUUAGUCUUAUGGAGCACAAACUGAACAGAAUCUUGAACGAUGCUCUGUAAAAGUCAUAGUUCAAUAUUGAAAUAUAGAAAGAAUAUGAUUUUUUCAACCAAAGCUAUUAUGAAAUUGCGGAAAAUGCUAGAAAAUUCAGGGUUACUUGCCGUCCAAGCCUGCAUUAAUCUUCAUCUCACCAAUCUCACCGAAAACGAAGAUAAGGCAGCAUUGAAGAAACAAUUGAUCGGUGACAUUAUGGAGCUGAUGUUGGCGAUUUUCAGUAAAAGCCAAGCGUCCUACUUUCAGGAAGUCUUGAUGUGGUGUUUUGAAGAUGACGAAGAUGCCGUUCAAAAGUUCCAAGACACUUUGCAGCUGGAUUUGAAUUUCAUCAACAUGCUGAAAGGUUGCAUAUUCCACAAAUACAACCAGUUCUUAACACUGUGCAGGUUCAAUAAACACUUCCCAGAGAAUAGCGAUUUCAAAAUUCUCGACAAAUUUUUGAACUCGUACUUCUCGAAGAUGCUGGGGAAAAAACAUGAGUUUAUGAUGAGAAUUAUUUGUUCGAAAAAUUCGAUUUUUUUGAAACCCUGCAAGCUGGCAAAUGAGAAAACCGGCAUUUGAAAGUGAUUGCACGCUGGUUUUUUAAGAACAAUGUCAACGAGAUUGAAAAAUUCAAGAAGUUCGCAGGUGGAAAAAUAUCAAUUCUUGAAAUCUAGAAAGUUUGUAAUUUAUUGUUUCAAUUCUGAAAAGUUCAGAAACACGUUGAUAUAGUUUAGCUAAGAAACCCUACAUGUCGUAGGGGGGAAUAAAUCCUUUACCUAUGGUGGUGAGAAUUAGAAAUAUUCCUUAAGAGGGGAAUAUCUCUCGGUACCUAGAUAGCUCAGAAGGGUGGUAGAUUUCCUAAACUGCCCUAUACAUCAUUUAAAAAGAUAUACCUAAUAAAUACGAAUUCUGUAAUAUUUACAAGGUAUAUUUAUAAUUUUUUACAUAAAUUCAUUGACCUACAUGAUUCUACGUUUGUUUACUUGAAAAGGCCCUAAAUGAAUUUAAAACGAAGAUAGAUCUUACCAUACGUGUGAUGGUAUAGAUCAACAUAAUUUUAAUCAUAGUCCAAAAUUAUGGUACUUCAUCCUACCCCAUCUCCGAAGGUCAGUGAUGGCAGCGUUCGCAAAAAUUUGAACGGCGUUCGCGUUCGCGUUCAUUUGAAAUGAACGGCGUUCGCGUUCACGUUCAUUUAAAAAGAACGCGUUCGCGAAUGCCGUUCGUGAACGCGAUCGCGAACGUAUGUCGUUCGCGAACGAGAACGCAAAUGCAUGAUUCGGGAGACAAUGAUUAAUGAAUUGCAGCAAGUAACAGUGACAUCCUACGCCUAUUCUAAACGCAAUUUUUGCCUUUUUAUUGCAAAAUAACUAAAAAGGGGUGAAAAUUCUAUAGGUACUUUAACUUUACCCCUUUUUUUCAAUGAAAAUGCAAAAUUUGUCUGAAAAAUGUUUCGAACUUUGAAAUUUGCGUUCAAUCAAAACGAACGCCGUUCGCGUUCGCGUUCUUUUGAAAAGAACGCGUUCACGUCAGUGCUGUGAGAACGCGGAAGUGCUCGUUCCCGUUCCCGUUCUUUGUUCUCACAAUAAAGAACGCCGUUCUUUGUUCCUUAUCACUCCCAAAAAUCUAACACCUCGUUCCUGUUCCUAGUUCUUAUGCUUCAUAAGCAGAAGCGUUCCCGUUCCCGUUCCCGUUCUCGUUCUCAAUCAAAUUUCCAAAAUUUACGUUCCUGUGUUCCCGUUCCCGUUCCCAAUAGGGUUCUGUGGUACAAGCGAAGCCAUUUUUGAUGGAAAUUUUUUUCAUUUUCUUCUAUUGUACCCAAAAACUACUAAAAGUUUGUGGAAAAAGCAUAUUUUUCCUAUUUUUCAGAGUUUUGGGAGGUAAUUUGAGAACCCUGAAAGAACAUCUAAGAAUGCCAAAUUAGCACUCCGUUCCCGUUCCCGUUCUCGUUCUCACAAAUUUAAUGUUCUCGUUCUCAGUAAGAACGUUCUUCAAGAGGAUUUGUGUGAUUAUCCGUUCGUUCUUUGAAGGAAAUUUGAAAAGUUGCGUUCUUUAUGCGUUCCCGUUCCCGUUUUCGUUCGUUCUCACAGCACUGGUUCACGUUCGCGUUCUUUCAAAAAAGAACGCGUUCCGUUCGCGUUCUCAUUCACGUUCGCGAACUUGGCAUUCACGAACGCGAACGCUGCCAUCACUGCCGAAGGUGUAGGAUUGCUAAAUUUUGCUUAAACUAAUUUUAUUUACACGAGAAAACAAUAUUUAAAUUAGUCAUCAUAGAUUACGACGCCUUGCUCGUAAUCUAUGCGAGGUGAAUACAAUAUUAAAAGAAAGUAAGUGUAUUCUGCUUACCACAAACUGUACGCGUUUUCCAUCUCUUUCCUGGUGGCUCAACUAAUACUACGAGCCGUCGAUGGAACUUAACCAAAUGAGACACAUUUUAAUUCUUUGCCCAUUUCGGUGAUGUCCGGAUACAUCCCAAAAUGUCAAAAAGGUACACUCGUUAUUAACCGUGAAUAUUUCGGUUAAUCUAGGUUGAAUUGAAACAUUAUCCAUCAAAAGAUGAGAUGGGAAAAACAAAAGAACUUCUGCCAUGAACUCUGAUAAGAUGUCCAUGGCUUAAGUUUUAUUAAUUAUGACGCGAGAACUGACAAUUCGCGAGUUAUCCGAGCCCACGUCCGGAGACUAGAUUUAGUUGCCGGAACCAUGUCCGAAGGCAUCCAAAAAACAUCACGAUCUCUCCGCUAGCAGCUUCGAGAUCUGUAUUAUAAAGAGACUUGAGAUGGUCAAAUCCCUACCCCUAUUUCUGGGGAACCAAUAGGGUACUUGCUGAGUACACAUAAAUUAGACAAUUUAUGUGACUUUACUAAUUAAUGGCCAAAAUCCCUAUCUCGGCCUAUAAAUGUCAAAGGCUGUCAAGAACUGUCAAGGGCUCGCGAACCCUUUUACUUUUACGUUCGCCGACUCGCGGGUGCGGCCCUACAUGCGCGAGUAGAUCGCGAGUACCUCGAGUACUUAGCCUAUCUAAAGAAUUUACACACGUUCCCAACAUUUCAUUAUAAGGGGUUCCUAUUAUAAGCACUACCUUCGGCAGUGGGGCCAAUCUGCCCUCUGUCAACGUUGCAGCUGGAUACAAUUUUCAUUAACAUGCUGAGAGGUUGCGUAUUGGUGAUUAGAGAUUGCAGGUUACCACGACCACGUUGUUUGAAUACGAAUAUCAUGAAGAUGAGGAUGGGAAUGAGGAUGAUACUGUCGAUUUUGAUCCAAGGCAUAAAAAUGUCGAGCUGUUAUUACUUAUUCUACGAUCUGCAUCUAUCGAAGAAAGAAGCACAUUUUGGCAAAAUUGCUGGCAUCUCUUGAUUGCAUCAGCUCGAGGCAAAGAAUUGCAACAAAUAAUGGAACUCUGCUUCGAAACGAGGGAACACGAGAUGGCUGAAUUUAAGCAAAUCAUGGCUAAAAGCGAUAAAGCACGUCGAUUGUGUGUUCGAUUAUUGUGUAAGGGCGAAUAUUUCAACCAUUUGAAUGAACUUGCAAAUUUCUUAACUAUGCCCUGAAAUGCUUAACGCAAUAAAUUUUGCCAGAUAACUCUGAGAAUCGAGCUAGGUAUAUGACUUUUUUUUUCUGAAUUUCAGUUUUGUUUUUGUUUACCUAUUUUUAUUUAUGUAUAGUUUUAUCAAUACCUAGCUGUAGAUUUUGUAUAACUUAUCACCUGUUUUUAUGAUUUACCUACUCGU